rnacentral:rRNA from 1 species
UGGGGAAUAUUGCACAAUGGGCGAAAGCCUGAUGCAGCAACGCCGCGUGAGUGAUGAAGGCCUUCGGGUUGUAAAGCUCUGUCUUUUGGGACGAUAAUGACGGUACCAAAGGAGGAAGCCACGGCUAACUACGUGCCAGCAGCCGCGGUAAUACGUAGGUGGCAAGCGUUGUCCGGAUUUACUGGGCGUAAAGGAUGCGUAGGCGGAUUUUUAAGUGAGAUGUGAAAACCCUAAGCUUAACUUGGGGACUGCAUUUCAUACUGGAAAUCUAGAGUGCGGGAGAGGAGAAUGGAAUUCCUAGUGUAGCGGUGAAAUGCGUAGAGAUUAGGAAGAACACCAGUGGCGAAGGCGAUUCUCUGGACCGUAACUGACGCUGAGGCAUGAAAAGCGUGGGUAGCAAAACAGGAUUAGAUACCCUGGUAGUCCACGCCGUAAAACGAUGAGUACUAGGUGUAGGAGGUAUCGACCCCUUCUGUGCCGCAGUUAACACAAUAAGUACUCCGCCUGGGAAGUACGAUCGCAAGAUUAAAAACUCAAAGGAAUUGACGGGGGUCAUAGCUGUUUCCU